GACGAACGCUGGCGGCGUGCUUAACACAUGCAAGUCGUACGGUAAGGCCCUUUCGGGGGUACCCGAGUGGCGCACGGGUGAGUAACACGUGAGUAACCUGCCCACAACUUUGGGAUAACGCUAGGAAACUGGUGCUAAUACUGGAUAUGUGCUCCUGCUGCAUGGUGGGGGUUGGAAAGCUCCGGCGGUUGUGGAUGGACUCGCGGCCUAUCAGCUUGUUGGUGGGGUAGUGGCCUACCAAGGCGGCGACGGGUAGCCGGCCUGGGAGGGUGACCGGCCACAUUGGGACUGAGAUACGGCCCAGACUCCUACGGGAGGCAGCAGUGGGGAAUAUUGCACAAUGGGCGCAAGCCUGAUGCAGCAACGCCGCGUGCGGGAGGACGGCCUUCGGGUUGGAAACCGCUUUCAGCAGGGACGAAGCUUUUUGUGACGGUACCUGCAGAAGAAGCACCGGCUAACUACGUG
rnacentral:rRNA from 1 species